rnacentral:lncRNA from 1 species
AUGCUCAAAAUUCUCCAAGCCAGACUUCAGCAAUACGUGAACUGUGAACUCCCAGAUGUUCAAGCUGGUUUUAGAAAAGGCAGAGGAACCAGAGAUCAAAUUGCCAACAUCCUCUGGAUCAUGGAAAAAGCAAGAGAGUUCCAGAAAAACAUCUAUUUCUGCUUUAUUGACUAUGCCAAAGCCUUUGACUGUGUGGAUCACAAUGAACUGUGGAAAAUUCUGAAAGGGAUGGGAAUACCAGACCAACUAACCUGCCUCUUGAGAAACCUAUAUGCAGGUCAGGAAGCAACAGUUAGAACUGGACAUGGAACAACAGACUCGUUCCAAAUAGGAAAAGGAGUAAGUCAAGGCUGUAUAUUGUCACCCUGCUUAUUUAACUUCUAUGCAGAGUACAUCAUGAGAAAUGCUGGGCUGGAAGAAACACAAGCUGGAAUCAAGACUGCCAGGAGAAAUAUCAAUCACCUCAGAUAUGCAGAUGACACCACCCUUAUGGCAGAAAGUGAAGAGGAACUAAAAAGCCUCUUAAUGAAAGUGAAAGAGGAGAGCGAAAAAGUUGGCUUAAAGCUCAACAUUCAGAAAACAAAGAUCAUGGCAUCUGGUCCCAUCACUUCAUGGCUAAUAGAUGGGGAAACAGUAGAGACAGUGUCAGACUUUAUUUUUGGGGGCUCCAGAAUCACUGAAGAUGGUGACUGUAGCCAUGAAAUUAAAAGACACUUACUCCUUGGAAGAAAAGUUAUGACCAACCUAGAUAGUAUAUUCAAAAGCAGAGACGCUACUUUGCUGACUAAGGUCCAAGUCAAGGCUAUGGUUUUUCCUGUGGUCAUGCAAGGAUGUGAGAGUUGGACUGUGAAGAAGGCUGAGCGCCAAAGAAUUGAUGCUUUUGAACUGUGGUGUUGGAGAAGACUGUUGAGGUUACCUUGGAUUUCAAGGAGAUCCAACCAGUCCAUUCUGAAGAUCAACCCUGGAAUUUCUUCGGAGGGAAUGAUGCUAAAGCUGAAACUCCAGUACUUUGGCCACCUCAUGCGAAGAGUUGACUCAUUGGAAAAGACUCUGAUGCUGGGAGAGAUUGAGGGCAGGAGGAGAAUGGGACGACAGAGGAUGAGAUGGCUGGAUGGCAUCACGGACUCGAUGGACGUGAGUCUGAGUGAACUCUGGGAGCUGGUGAUGGACAGGGAGGCCUGGCGUGCUGCGAUUCAUGGGGUUGCAAAGAGUCGGACACGACUGAGCAACUGA